UCCAGUCCUCUCCACCCCAAGGUAGGCAGCUUCCCGCUCCUCGUCUUGGGACCUAAACCCAGGAAGUCAAAUGUCCUUUUCUAGCAGGUCGCCUGGUUAGAGGCCGUGGACGAAGCGGUCCAGGCACAGCCAGCUGCAGGGCGCGGCCUCGGCGGCGCUGCUCGUGGCCCUGGUCAGUGAGCGCACUCACUCCUGGACUAAGCUCUAUGCAACUCAUUUUCAUCUAGCAUUACCUCUCCAAAACCUGAAUCUCCACAAGAAAGCCACACAGCAAUUAACCAGUGUUGCAAGAACUGCUUCUGUAAUAAAGGUGGGAAGACAAAUUGAUGCAACCCUCUUGAAAAGCAAUCUGGCAAUAUGAACCAAGAGCCAUGAAAAGGCUUAUGCUAUUAUAAUUAAAUGGCUGUAAUGUUGGCUGUAAAUAUGAAAUUUUCUUUCACACACCAAUGUUUUCAAGAAUGGCAUAUUCACAUGCAGUAUGUGAUGAAAGAAGCAGUAAAGGAUGCUAACAAAGCUAUUUCUUUGGACAAUCUGAACCUGAAAUACUGAUUGGCAACUAUCCACAGACAAGAAUGCCUUUGUGAAAAAUCCCAGAACCCAAGACGUAGUGGGGAGAAGGGACAGGGGAGACGGAGUCUUACUCUGUCGCCCAGGCAGGAGUGCAAUGGCACAAUCUUGGCUCACCACAACCUCCGCCUCCUGGGUUCAAGUGACUCUCCUGCCUGGCCAUAGAAGCAAACACAAACAUAGAGGAAUUGGCUUUGGGCAGAUGGAAGGACCUCAGAGAAAAGAAACAAAGGAAAGAAAACUGGAUGGAUAAAGGUACAAAGAAAUUUGGAGUAGAGCUGAAUUGCAUCCCCCUCAAAUUCAUAUGUUAAAAUUCUGAUCCUCAAUACCUCAGAAUGUGACUGUUUCUGAAGACAGGGCCUUUAAAGAUGUAAUUAAGGUAAAAAAGUCAUAUCGGUGGGCCCUAAUACAACAUUAAGGAUGUCCCUAUAAGAAGAGGAGAUUAGAACACAGGCAUGCACAGAGAGAUGACAUGUGGAGACACAAGGAAAAAUGACCAUCUCGUCAAGGUGAAAAGCCUUUUGAAGAAACCAACCCUGCCAAAGGUUAAAAUUCCCUGUGGAAUUUUAAGCUUCACAGAUAUGAGGAAGUAAAUUUCUGUUGCUUAAACUGCCCAA
ensembl:lncRNA LINC03076 long intergenic non-protein coding RNA 3076